CUCAGCUAAACCUUGGUGCACUCCAACAAUCUCACUAUCGGUCAACCCAAGGAUGCUACCAAGUUGACUUAGAAAAACAUAUUCAGAGUCAUCCUUCUUUGUGGUGAUCUGGACCCCAAAAGGAAUUUUAGUAACUUGCCCAGUUAGACAGAAGAGCAAGUAUGUCUUGUAAAGUUCUGUUCUCUCUCUUUCCGGAAGAUCGUCCUUGAGAGUAAUCUCGGUCUGGAUAUCCUUUCUCAAAUUCUUCUUGCUGGGUUUUACUUUUCUUAGUGAUUGUAAGGACUCCCACUCCUCAUCCUCCUCUUCGUUUUGUUGAAUCUGUUCUUCUUGAGUCUCUUCUGCCGGUGUAUCAGAUGAUUCACCCUUGAUGUCUGCAACUAGUUGAGACGCAACAAAACUAUUAAAGGCUAUCAUUUUUUUCAGUUCUUUGGCUGAUUCAGUGCGGCUUCCAGCUCCUCGGACCCUCUGAAUGUAAGUGAUGAAAAUCUUUCUGACUGCCUUACUAGCAAUAGUCAUGGCAACAUCCCUGGUUAAUCGUAAACCAUAUGCUGCCUUCCUCACAGCAUUCUUCGUUUCAGUAUCAUAACCAUCUAUUCCACAAGCAAUUGCUUCCUUAACCACCUUCUCAAACAAACUGCCACAGAUAUCUGCAUGAGCAGCUUCAACUGUUUGCUUGGGAACGCAAAGCAUUACCUGCAGGCGCUCCAAUGCCUUCAUGUCCUCAUCACUAAGUUCUCCAUCAGUGACAAGCAGCUGAAGCUUUUGCCUGUAGAUUUCUUGAUGAAUCUCAAGAGCCUUUUGUGGAUCAAAAAUUAAUUCUUCACAAAGGUUUUGAAGAUAGGCUGCUUUGCUUUCGAACGCUUCUAAUUCACCACUGGUAACAGCUUGAGCUAGUCGUUUACGGUAUACCUUUGAGGUUACAUCCAAUGUGAUUGUAUCUGCUUCUCGUUUCCCCAAACCAAAUAUAUUUCUCAAUUGGUUCAAAGCAGCAAGCUUGUCUUCUUCCAUCCGACCACUUGACAAAGAAUCUGUAACAUAUGCUCUGUAAAGAAGUUUUAGGUCAUCCAUCUUCCUAUCACCAUCAUACUCCCCUCCUACUAAGGAAACUGGCCCAAUGCCAGGAGCAAAGCGACUAGCAUCAGCAUGGUUCUUCAAUGAGAUUAGCAAAUUAUUAUAUGACAAUACCUUAUCAAGUUCCUCAAUGACACGCGUGGGUUCCCUGGUUGCUCUUGUCCUUGACUUCAAUAUGCCAACAGCAGUUGAUAUGAUUUCCUCAACAAGCUUUCUUGCAUGCUCCUUAAGCAUCUCAUGUGCAAGCUCAUCGGACAAUCGAUAUGCAAGCUGUGCUUCUCUCAAACUGAUCAGCUGGUUCACAUCAAUAUCUCGCCCAACAGACUUAAGCUUGGAGGCAUACAACCGUUGUGCAUUGUCCCUGACAGCAACAUCAACCUGGGCAUCAGUAACCUUGAAAACACGUUUCCAAGGUAAAAGGAAAGCAGAUGAUUCUCCAAAUACAAGAGUUGAGACAUAUAUCAACUUCUGAAAUGCCCGACGUUGCUCCAUAUCUCCAUCACGAUCUCCCGUUUCAAGUCUUUGCCUGAAGAUUCGCCUACCAAUCUCCAUAUGCAUAUCUGCUGCAUCUGGAUCAUCAAUUCCCAAUGCAUUUUUAAAUUUGAUUAUUGUAUCAACUUCAUCGCCUCUAAGUUCUUCAGUACUAGCAGGAAGGACAGCAGAUAUAUACCGGCAAUAUAUAUCUCGCAGCUCCGCAUUGAAUGCCUCAUUCUGUUUGCUGACACCAUACUUAUUGGCAAUUGAUUCAAUAUCUUCCUUGUUCAAGGCAGCAGGGUUGUCAAAAUCAGCGACAUAGUUAUGCAAAUUAAUAGCAGCAACUUGAGGAGCGCAAGAAUUCAAUGCAUAAGCAGCGCCGGCACCAGCAGCACCAAAAGCAAUAGCACCACCAAGCCCAGCAUUCCGGGAUCCACCAAAACGAAGACCAAGACCGUAUCCAGCAGCAAUAGCAGCAGCAAAUAUCAAAGCGGAGCUGGCUAUUCUUAUGGGGGGUGACAUGGCAUCAACAAGGGAUUGAAUAGGAGAAAGUUCCUUUUUACCUCCAAAGACAUCUGGGUUGACGGAAGUAGGUUUGUGCUGAAGAGAGGCAGAUGAAGAUGAAAUGACGGUGGACUGAAUGCGGCGUUUUAGGUAGAAUUUAGGGGUAAGACGGAGAGGUGUAGGAUUGAGAAAUUGAGAGCGGAAAGUGUUGACAGGAGGAGGUUGAUUGAUAGGGAGGAGAAGUGAUGAUGGGUUCAUAUCUACUACCUCUUCUAAUAACUAGUUGAUGUUCAAGUAGGGUUUAACCAAGUCGUCCGGAGUUUGGAACUAGGAAGAAGAAGAAGAGGAUAGGGGUCUGAGGGGGUACAAG
rnacentral:misc_RNA from 1 species